AGCCAUCAAUUGAUCUUGACUGAAAUCUAAUGCAACUGCAAAGUGGCAGAAAAAGAGGUCAUUAAUCAGUACAGAGCCUGGGGUCAAACAGUCUUCCCAACUUGCUCUAUGGGACAAAUCCCUGCAAUGCUGGAGUCAUUUGGAAGAACAGAAGUUCCUGGAAAGCUCUUCAUUUUAUUUCUGUGAAAAUACAGGCCAUUAUUUAAAACUGUUUUAUUUAAAACAUUUUUAUUUCAGCUUCAUUUGUGGGAUCCACAUUUGUGCUUCUUUACAAUAACACCAGUGUAUAAGCCAAAGGAAACUUGUAAGUUCAUAGUUGAUCCUUCCUGUUCCCAUAGCUAGGAGGAAGCACUCCAGAAGCUUGGCACCAAGAGGGAGGAGUAAGCGUGUAUUCUGGAAAAGCUGAGCUGAGGCUCAGGGCAUGUGUGGUGGGGGAAAGGCAGUUUGUCAGGGUUACUGAUUUCUUCCUGUAGCUGUUUGGAGUUAAUGAGCUGCUCUGCUGUGUAUGGCACCAGGAGCACAGUGAAUCCCACGCAAGCACAUCAAUCUCCAUGUGAGAAGAGUGCGCAUGUGCCUGCCUGCACCAGCGCUGCCUGCCCAAAGGCUGCCGUGAAGCACCACCUGCUGACGGACUCUGGGAGCUGGAAAAAUGCAAACAGUUGUGAAACGUGGUUCAGCUAGUAUUAAUGUACACACGGCCUGCCUAGAUGUAAUUGCACGGGUGUGGAAGCGAUAGCCUGAAGCAGGAGGAAGUGUUGACCAUGUUGGAAUGAAGAUUUAUAAUCCAGCAAGUGUCCAAUGCCACCUACUACAACCCAGCAUGGAGAUGGAGCUGAACAUCUCUGGAAGGAUACAUAUCCUGGCCUCCUCACGCGGGGAGACGAUCAGCAUGUGCACGUGCAGAACAGAGAGAGAAACAGAAUUAGGUCGGUAUGAGAUGCGCAAGUCAAAGAGAGAGAAUUGCUGAGUUCACCACUGUCUCCUGAAAAAGAACCAGAAAACCACAUUGCAACUGAAACUAGCUGCAUUAACAUGGGUGCAGGCGGUCAGUGCUACAGCUUUUCAUGCAAACCUCCCGCUGUAAGAGCUGCCUUCCCUAAAGCACUGAGGAAGCACAAGGCAUCCAGGCUGGUACAGCUACUCCUCCGGAAAGCUUUGCUUGUAUGCGGUUACAGUGGCAUGAAUUAUUGAUACUUCUGUUAGAGCUGGCUGUGCACACAGGAAUUUGUAAUGUUUCCCCAUGUCACACUGUGAACGCACUCUGGGGUCACAUAAGGGGUUGAGUUUAAGACCCUUUUACUUGUGUGAUUGCGACAUUGAUUUAGCCAUUUCAGGACUAGGGCUGCAAAUUUAACUAAAUUACGGUGGAAACAGCUCUUUCAUAACAAAACAGUCCCAGGUUGGAAACAGCUAAGAUGGAGGGGCGAGGAGAAGGUAAUCUGGGGGAUAGUUCUCUCUGUGUGUUUUCACGGUGUCAGCACAAAGAUGGUGAGAAGACUUCCAGGAAGUUUUAAGCGUUCUUUGCCCUGACCUCACGCGCCAGCAUUUCCAACGGCAUCAGCCAGCCUUGGCUACCACCAUGCUUAGCACUUUGGGAGAUUGCAUUAAUAAUGUCCGUUUCUAAGACAACAGCCUUGCAAUUUAGAAAGGACUGAGUUAAAAAUGUGUGUUUACAUACAAACAUUUUACACAGAUGUAUAUAUGUAUUUAUAUACAUAUGUAAAAAGAAUUAUGUCAGACUAAAAGAGUCACUCAGCGGUGGAGAGACAGAAACCAUCUGAACAAGGACGAUGCCCUGACAGAAGCAAUCUGGUCUCCAUAGAGCUUGGCCAGAGACUUUAGGAGAAAUAGGAGCAAAUUCACUGAACACUCCCUAAGAGAUCAUACCCGCGAGCUGCUCCAAAACAUAGGGAAAGCUCAUACUGACUUCCCUGGGUGCUGGAUCCUACAGGUACAGCCUCACGUGGACAAGCCUGAGCCAAGACUCCCACCUCUGA
ensembl:lncRNA